rnacentral:SRP_RNA from 1 species
UCGGUCCCCCCGCAAUGAACCUCUGUAAACUCCGCCAGGCCCGGAAGGGAGCAACGGUAGCAGAGACUUCGUGUGCUGGGGUGUGGCUG